rnacentral:tRNA from 1 species
AGAGAGAUGGCUCAGUAGUUAAGAGCUCUGGCUGCUCUUCCAGAGGGCCUGGGUUCGAUUCCCAGAANUUCCA